UACGUAGGGUGCAAGCGUUGUCCGGAAUUAUUGGGCGUAAAGAGCUCGUAGGCGGUUUGUCGCGUCGGCUGUGAAAACUCGGGGCUCAACCCCGAGCCUGCAGUCGAUACGGGCAGACUAGAGUGCUGUAGGGGAGACUGGAAUUCCUGGUGUAGCGGUGAAAUGCGCAGAUAUCAGGAGGAACACCGGUGGCGAAGGCGGAUCUCUGGGCCGAUACUGACGCUGAGGAGCGAAAGCGUGGGGAGCGAACAGGA
rnacentral:rRNA from 1 species